AUUGAACGCUGGCGGCAGGCCUAACACAUGCACGUCGAACGAGUGGCGGACGGGUGCGUAAUGUCUGGGAAACUGCCUGAUGGAGGGGGCUAACUACUGGAAACGGUAGCUAAUACCGCAUACCAUCAGAUGUGCCCAGAUGGGAUUGGCUUGUUGGUGGGGUACCGGCUCACCAAGGCGACGAUCCCUAGCUGGUCUGAGAGGAUGAACAGUCACAUUGGAACUUAGACACGGUCCAGACUCCUACGGGAUGCAGCAGUGGGGAAUAUUGCACAAUGGGCUCAAGCCUGAUGCAGCCAUGCCGCGUGUAUGAAGAAGGCCUUCGGUUUGUAAAGUACGUUCAGCGGGGAGGCGUUACCCGCAGAAGAAGCACCGGCUAACUCCGUGCCAGCAGCCGCGGUAAUUC
rnacentral:rRNA from 1 species